rnacentral:sRNA from 1 species
GGGGUAAUGUAGUGAACGUGGAGGUCAAUUCCACCAGCGGUAACAAUCAUUCCUUCACCAGAAAUGGCUUCAGUACUUGCCCCGACAAUGAAAUCAACGUUAUCCAUGACGUCUGGGUUACCACCUUUACCAAUGGCAAGGAUCUUACCGUCACGAAUACCAAUAUCCGCCUUAUAAAUUCCAGUCCAAUCAAUAAUAAGUGCAUCAGAAAUAAUUGUAUCGGCAACCAUUGGAUUUCCGGCACGGGUUUCAGUGGCACUAACACCCAUUCCAUCAC